rnacentral:rRNA from 1 species
AAUUAACCACGACAAGCCCACUAACAACUUGUCCGCCAGAGAAUUACGGGCGAAAGCCUAAAACUCAAAAGACUUGACGGUGCCCCAAUUCUGCCUAGAGGAGCCUGUUUCAUAAUCGAUAACCCCCGCUCAACCCGACCCCUCCUUGACUCCAGCCUAUAUACCGCCGUCUUUUCCGCUUACCCUUUGAAAGAAAUACAGUAAGCUCAAUAGUCUACAACUAAAAAGUCAGGUCAAGGUGUAGCUUAUGGAGAGGAGAAAAUGGGCUACAUUUUCUACGAUAGAAUACACGGAAAAUAUAAAAUACACAAAGGUGGAUUUAGUAGUAAGCUAAACCAGAGUGUUUAACUAAACAAGCUCUGGGGCAUG